rnacentral:rRNA from 1 species
CCCGCGAGGGGGAGCUAAUCCCAUAAAGCCAGUCGUAGUCCGGAUCGUAGUCUGCAACUCGACUACGUGAAGUCGGAAUCGCUAGUAAUCGUGGAUCAGAAUGUCACGGUGAAUACGUUCCCGGGUCUU